GGGCGGAGGCCGGAGGAGCCGCCGAGCGGAGACCCGGGCGCGGGAGCUGGGCCUAGGUCGGCGCCCUGGCAGCCGUGUCUGUGUUUUUGUCUCGCAGAAUUAGAGCCCAUUGGGAACGAUGCCACCACCGUCAGACAUUGUCAAAGUGGCCAUUGAGUGGCCAGGUGCUAACGCCCAGCUCCUUGAAAUCGACCAGAAACGGCCCCUGGCAUCCAUUAUCAAGGAAGUUUGUGAUGGGUGGUCGUUGCCAAACCCAGAGUAUUAUACCCUCCGUUACGCAGAUGGUCCUCAGCUGUACAUCACCGAACAGACUCGCAGUGACAUUAAGAAUGGGACAAUCUUACAACUGGCUAUCUCCCCGUCCCGGGCUGCACGCCAGCUGAUGGAGAGGACCCAGUCAUCCAACAUGGAGACCCGGCUGGAUGCCAUGAAGGAGCUGGCCAAGCUCUCUGCCGACGUGACUUUCGCUACUGAGUUCAUCAACAUGGAUGGCAUCAUUGUGCUGACAAGGCUCGUGGAAAGUGGAACCAAGCUCUUGUCCCACUACAGUGAGAUGCUCGCAUUCACCCUGACUGCCUUCCUAGAGCUCAUGGACCAUGGCAUUGUCUCCUGGGACAUGGUUUCAAUCACCUUUAUUAAGCAGAUUGCAGGGUAUGUGAGCCAGCCCAUGGUGGACGUGUCAAUCCUUCAGAGGUCCCUGGCCAUCCUGGAGAGCAUGGUCUUGAACAGCCAGAGUCUGUACCAGAAGAUAGCUGAGGAAAUCACCGUGGGACAGCUCAUCUCACACCUCCAGGUCUCCAACCAGGAGAUUCAGACCUACGCCAUUGCACUGAUUAAUGCACUUUUUCUGAAGGCUCCUGAGGACAAACGACAG
rnacentral:sRNA from 1 species